rnacentral:rRNA from 1 species
UCUUACGGCCAUACCACCCUGAGCGCGCCCGAUCUCGUCUGAUCUCGGAAGCUAAGCAGGGUCGGGCCUGGUUAGUACUUGGAUGGGAGACCGCCUGGGAAUACCAGGUGCUGUAAGCUUUA